CAGUCGCAUACAAUUCCAUUAUAUUGACAACGAUGAGUGAAUAAAUCAAACAGACAUAAACAUUGUCGGCUUUACUAUGUGAACGAACUCUGCGCUUCUUCUUGCUGAUCUCAAAAUUUCACUUAUUGCCAGAAUUAAAAAUUAUUGAGCAAUACUGCGGAUGUGAAGCAGGUUUUACUUUCCCGUCCAGAGCAUCUGAUACCACUCCUAGUGUUUUGUUAUUUAUAAAGUAAAUGUUGUUUUUUAUGAACUGUUCUUUGCCAUGCCGUAUUCAUACCUUUGGUAUCUAUCGUCUCUCUUUUGUAAGGUAUAAUAUUCUACUUUACCACAAAUAAAC
rnacentral:lncRNA from 1 species